GUAAAUAACCGUUAGGGCAGUUUACAGUUAGCAGAAGGGCUGAAGCAUUGUCCAAAGAGCUAAAAUGCACUAAGAGAGAAGUCUGCUUUGUUUUAUUUAUUCUUAAACAUUCUGCUGGUUUCCUUCCCAUGCUGCGCUCUCUUCCAUAUGCUCCCUACACCCACCAACACACCCACCUACACACACUCACAAUUUACCAACAUACUUUAUGACUUUGCUGAAUUAAGAUCCACACCACCAUUCAAAUAAGAUAAAAUAAACAGCUGUUUUCUUUCUGCAGAAUGAGCAUAUUCUGACUUGGCACUUAUGAAGCAUCUGAAAGAAGGGGGCUGCCAGAAAUGUCUUACACCAACACUGCACUGAAGGCCUAGGUCUGGAGUAUGUGCAGCUGUGUGCACUAAGGAGCAUUGGGAUUUGCAGUAGGAAAAUUUCUAGGGGGAUCUUGCAGGCAUGCAAGCCACGGUAGUGUGUUGUAGGUCACUGAGAAGCCAGAGGAGGUGCCCAUGGAAUCUCCAGGCUUGAACACAUAGUCAAAAUAGCAUCAACAGGGUACAACAGAAGCUCAUCGCAGACAUUUAAUUCAAGACCUCCCUUUCUGCUGGAGAAUUACAGUCCCAAGAAGUGCAAGCAGCAGAGAUUGACUAGAUUUGCCCUGCCUCUCUUAUCUCCUGCAUUAAGCUCCUUGAUUUGGGAGCUGACAGAAUUUUGCAGUGCCCAGCAGACAAACAAAUAACCUAGAAAGAGUCUGAAACAGGUUAUAUUACUGUGAAUCCUGUUUUGCCAUCCAUUUCUGCUGCUUAUCAGUUGUAGGCCAUUACACCUCAUUCUGAAAAUCAAAAGGGCUGAAAACAAAAGCAGCAUCUCAGAUUAUCACCUUGAUAUUUCUCCUUGCUGUAUGUAUGGUAACUGUUGAGUCACAACCUGAACUGCUGAUUGAGCACCUGCAGAAAGAAUCCAGUCAGCCUUGGGAGCACAGGUGAAGGCAAUUCUCCUGUGCAACUGGAAGGGGUGGAACCUCGUUGCACCUCUCUUAGACCACAUUUAAGGGCUGAUUGCCUUUGAGGAAGGGUCUCUGGUUGGAGAUCCCUCCCUUGUGGAGUCUUUUCUGUGAGCCUAGAUCCUCAGAGCCGACCCACCAGGCCUGAUCUGCAUGGGUUCUUAAAGACAAUGAAGGCUGCCUGACAGCUUGGAGUGAACACAUGAGACUUGAUCAAAGGUUCAUAGAACCAUGGAAUGGCCUAGAUUGAAAAGGACCUCAAAGAUCAUCUAAUUUCAACUCCCCUGCUGUGGGCAAGGUCACCAACCACACUAGACCAGGCUACUAUUCAGAUAACUUUCACUUGGUCUCACAGCCCACAGGAUGAUUGAAGAUUUCGAAAGAUCAGAGACUGAGCAAGUCUAUCACUGGACAUAUAACUUCCCUUAGACGUUUUUCUUGGCUUUCUACAAAGCAUCAACUUACUAUAAGGAUCAAGAUGAUUUCUUUCAAUAAUAUCUUGAAGAUAGCUGACUACUACCUUCAGUGCUGAUCAGCAACAACCUCUACUACCUGAGUAACUAUUGACUCAUCAUUAUCAUCACUCCCUACAGCCCACAACAGGCUAUUAGAGAAAGUUCAAAAUGUUUUCCACUUUCAGAAUUACUAGAAAAGCUGGAAAGCUUCUCCUAAAGCAUUGAUUUAGUGACUAUCAUAGUCACAGGGAGAAGUCCUGAUGCCUUUCAGUUAGGAGCCACAUCUCUAGGCAGAUGAUUAUUCCCAUAACAGAAAGAUUUGCCAAAAGAAAAACAGAAAAAGAAAAAAUUCUAUAAUGUUACCCCUGAAGUCAUGUUUUUAUUAGAUGAAGUAAAAUGUCCUCCAAGUGCAUGAAUUCUACCAUCUUUCAUUACAAUUUAUUUAGUUAGAAUAUUAUGCAUGCCCAAUAAUGCAUUGCUUGUAAAGGCCCUUUGUCAAAAGUGUUUUUAGAGGGGAAAUACAGAGAUGCCACAACAUAAGUAAAUGAGGUUCUGAUUAUUCUGUUUACUAUAGUUUUCAGUUUCCUCACCUGAUUUGGGUGAAACCAAAUUUUUGAUUUGCGGAUUUAAGUGCAUUGGACGUUUUUGUACAGGGCAUGUUACUGGGGACUGGAUGCUCCCUAAAACACCCAAAGCAGGUAUUUAGGUAUCUUAGAACACAGAAUUUGGAAAACUUUCUUCGCUGAGCCAGAAAAUUAAGAUUUUUAUGUCUUAGAAUUUAGUGAUAAUAAUAAUCGAAGACUGUAAUACUGACAGUGAGGUUAUCCUUACUAUUAGAAUGUCCAAUUCAAACAAAAUAGAAGUUAACAACUUACCAAAUUAAAAUAGAAUCCACAGCGUACCUACUCAUUAUGUUUUAAUGGCAUGUAAAAAGCACAUGGAUGACCAGUUGAUUCUGAGAAAAUCUUUAUGUACAGUUGUCAUGAGUAAUUACUUACCUUAGCUCUCUUUUCUUUUGAGGAGCUGCAAAUUUAAAUCCAAGUGUAUAAUUUCUUAGGGAUUCUAUGCCCAGAGAGCUGAAUCUGAUCAUUUGUAUGAGAAAAUCCAGUCCAGCAUAAAAGAAAACUUUCCCAUUUAAGUACAGUUUAAGAUUAUGUGUAGAGAACAAUAUAUAUAAAAGUCGCUCUCUUGUCCUAACAUCAAAAUCCUGGAGGUUCUUUCUGUCCUCAUUAGAGUCUGUCUGAUUCUUGCUAUUAACCUCAGCAGGAAUGGACUUGAUUUUAAUACUACUUCAGGGGCCUCCUCCAGAUUCAGUCACAAAUCUACUUUUAUAUGUAAAUCACAUGAAUCAUUGAUUUAUUUAAAAAUGAGGGAAGAUGUCUGUGAUUUUUCUAGGUGGAGAAUCAAGGACUAAAUGAUUGUCAGUUCUCAGAGUUAAAAAAAUGAAAAGAAAAACGAAACCCUCCAGAACAGCCAAAGUAUCCAGUUGCUCAUCAUUCUGCAUACUGGCACUCUUGAUGAUGUUUGCUCUUUUUCUUUCCUGUUCACAAUGUUCUUAAUAAUUCAGUACUUUUUUCUUUAACUUUAUUAUUAAAGGCAAUGGACUGAUGAUUCAUUCUGCUUUCUUUGCUCUUUCAGUGAUGUCCAUUAAUGAAGACUUACUUUUCAGCAUCAUUGGCUUACUUAACUAAAUCAUUUAUUUAGUUAAGUAGUUCAGUGUACGUUUUUGUUUUUUUUUUGCUCAGUGUAACAGCUAGUUAUAGCUCAGAUUAGAGUUGCAUAUUGAUUUUAUUCUAGAAAAUGUGUAUGAAAUGGACUGAGCUUCAAGUACCAAAAACUGGAAAAUGCAGGGCAGAAGAAAGUACAGCAGAACAUAGCUGCAUAGCUACACCUGCAGAAUGUGACUCCAGGAGAAACAACAGAAGUGCUUUCUCUGGAUAGCAGGAAUGUUCAUUCACAGACAUUGUGUGCCACUGGAUGUCACCAGCGUUUCAACACUUGAGAAAUCAUCAAGAGAUUCCUUUUAAAUGGAAACAAACAUACCUACAGGAAGGAAGUGAAGAGAAAGGAAACAUUCUAUGGAGUAUGUCAAUCUGUAGAUUAAUUAAUACAUUGAUUCCAUUUGAGAGUCUGUAUGUACCUGUCUUCCCACUGAGAUAUCUACUAUGCAAUCAGUGGUAAUUUGAAAAUCAAUUGCUCUUUUGUAGUACUUAAAUUUGUCCAUCUAAACAGAUAUAAUUGAUAGAGCCUACAAUUCAUUUCAAGGCAGUGAUGCUUAAGGAAUCCUAGAGAUAAGGGAUGUAAGCUAGCAAACUGGGAGGUUUUACCCAACAAAUGACAGUCAAAAUUAACAGUUUUGUAUUGGUUUUAAAUAUAAAAUAGUAGAUAUGAAAUCUGAAUUGAAAUAUACUGCUAAAGUAAAAUAUAUUUUUAGACAAGGCAAAAAAAAGCUGAUAGAAGUGACUGUAUUUAGACAAAAUUAUAUCUUAUAGAAUUACAUUUACAUGUUACAGAACUAAAUUGUUGUUUUUUCAUCAUAUUCUUUUAAAUUUCAUCAUAUUCUUUUAAAACUGAUAUUUUGAAUAUGUUGAUCUAGCUGCUUACAA